CUUGGGUCAGUCAUGUUACUGAGGAACUGUGUUAUGCAGCUGUGUUCUUAAAGGGAAUUGGAGUUAAUUUUACUAGCUGAGAUCCAAU